CUGUAGUCCCAGCUACUCAGGAGGCUGAGGCAGGGAGUCGCUUGAACCUGGGAGGCGGAAGAUCCCUCCACGGCACUCCUGUCUCGGCAACAGAGUGGGACUCUGUCUCAAAAACAAAAAAAUCCAUCUAUGUUUUUUUCCCAGGUCUGUCUUGAUCCUUGACCCUUUUUCAAUUUAGUUAGCUCAGCAGUUCUGUGAUCACUGUCUCUGGAAGGGAUAUGGCAGCUGAAAGCAGAGAAAAGUGGAGUCUCCUGCGGUUCAGGACAGUGUGAACAGCAGGACUAGUGCAUAGACCACAGAUUUAAAAGAGAACAUGGCAACGAGUAGGACAGAGGCUUCCCCGCCCCAGCCUGCCACUCUCAGACUUGAAAAAGACUUCCCAAGCUGAAGGGAGAGGUUAGAGGGGAAGUGGAGGGAUCUAGAGGGCAGUUACAGUGGUGACGGGAUGUGCACUUGAACACAACUCCAGUGGAAAGGUAGGUAAUCCGGAGGGAGUCACCAAAUAGCUUUGGAUAGUUUCUGUCAUCUGGUGGAAAGGAAGCCUAAAUUUAAAAAUCACGUGUUAGAGAAAUGAAGAAAAAUACUGCUACUGUGCCCGUGGACUCUGUACUUCUCUUUGUACCACUAUGGGGCCUCGUGUAUGGGAAGUCAUGAAGUCUCGUGGCUCUGGAGUAGGAAGUUGCGCUAAACGGUGAAGGGCUCGACAGGAGGCUCCUGGUGCGUGCACCGGCCGGCGCUGAGCAGCCUUUUGGUCCUCAUGCUCCCAUUGGGUGCUCUUCUCUGGAAGCCAGCGGGACUGUAGAAGGAAGGAUCUCUUCUUUGAAGCCUUUGUGGAUCCCCACAGAAGAAUACGGUCAUUUCCUCCUUGGACUCCCAGAGAGAGAGAGAGCUGGUGAAGGAGAGCUGGUGGAAGACUGCUCUAGAUCCAGUGCGGGGCCUGGGAUCCCUACUGGUCAGCAGAAUGAGAAAUGAGUUAGAAACAGCUAGUCACAGAGUCAGGGAGAGCCACGGUAGACCCAUGUGAACAGGAAUUCAAGAUAAUGGUUGAAGCACCCUUCCUUGAGGAUGUGCCCCCAUGCCAGUUUCUCUUUUGUUGACUCUGCUGCAAACACAUCCCUUUUCUCUGGUAUAACAAAACACUACAACAGUGCAAGAUUCAGCCUCUCCAGCAUCUGCGUUGAUGGCAACAACAACAACAAGAAAAGUAAUAAUAAACAAAACCAACCAAAUAAACCAACCACUGGUCUGUUUUCCAUAAUUUCUCCAAAAUGGCUAUCAUUUUUAUGAGGCUAUCAAAGGUUUGUUUCAGGCAUUCUUCCUUAGGAUGUGGUGUUACAUAAAACAGUUCAUGCUUGGAA